rnacentral:rRNA from 1 species
UACGAAGGGGGCUAGCGUUGCUCGGAAUCACUGGGCGUAAAGCGCACGUAGGCGGAUCGUUAAGUCAGGGGUGAAAUCCUGGAGCUCAACUCCAGAACUGCCUUUGAUACUGGCAAUCUCGAGUCCGGGAGAGGUGAGUGGAACUGCGAGUGUAGAGGUGAAAUUCGUAGAUAUUCGCAAGAACACCAGUGGCGAAGGCGGCUCACUGGCCCGGUACUGACGCUGAGGUGCGAAAGCGUGGGGAGCAAACAGG